rnacentral:rRNA from 1 species
AUUGAACGCUGGCGGCAUGCUUUACACAUGCAAGUCGAACGGCAGCACGAAAGAGCUUGCUCUUUUGGUGGCGAGUGGCGAACGGGUGAGUAAUGCAUCGGAACGUACCGAGUAAUGGGGGAUAACUAUCCGAAAGGAUAGCUAAUACCGCAUACGCUUUGAGAAGGAAAGUGGGGGCUCUUCGGACCUCACGUUAUUCGAGCGGCCGAUGUCUGAUUAGCUAGUUGGUGGGGUAAAGGCCUACCAAGGCGACGAUCAGUAGCGGGUCUGAGAGGAUGAUCCGCCACACUGGGACUGAGACACGGCCCAGACUCCUACGGGAGGCAGCAGUGGGGAAUUUUGGACAAUGGGCGCAAGCCUGAUCCAGCCAUGCCGCGUGUCCGAA